GAUGUGAAAAAGAAUUACAAAUAUAGAAAAGCUUUAAAAUAAUCUGAAAAUUGCAAGCAAAAACGUAAAGAUAAACAAUUUGUUAGAUCAGAAUCAGAAAGUUAAUGUUCAUAGCCGGCAUAGUACUGGCUUUUCGGACUCAUCUAAAAAGCUCGAGUUUUCAAGCCAGUGAUCUUAAAGCCUUCCUGCAGUUGUUGACUAUUUUGAAAUUAUUCUGUGGUGUUGACAAACCAAGUAAGCCACCUGGCUGUUCGUGUACAUGACUGCUUUCUGUAUUCACAGUUAUGCAAUUGAACUUCACAAGCCUUCUCUAUAUCUAGUAUNUCCGCUUGAAAGGUGCUGGCUAAAAUUGUUGGUUCUUUUGAAAACUAAAAAAUGGAUUUUUUAGUUCUGUUUGUCAUUUAUCAUAUAUUAUUUGCAGUAUAUGGGUUUAAGGUGAGUA
rnacentral:lncRNA from 1 species